UACGAGGGGGGCAAGCGUUGUUCGGAAUUAUUGGGCGUAAAGGGCGCGUAGGCGGUGCGGUAAGUCACCUGUGAAAACUCUGGGCUCAACUCAGAGCCUGCAGGCGAAACUGCCGUGCUUGAGUGUGGGAGAGGUGCGUGGAAUUCCCGGUGUAGCGGUGAAAUGCGUAGAUAUCGGGAGGAACAUCCGUGGCGAAGGCGACUACCUGGACCAGCACUGACACUGAGGCACGAAAGCGUGGGGAGCAAACAGG
rnacentral:rRNA from 1 species